GUUUGCACUUGUCGGGGAAGGGUGAGAACCUUCGAUUAAGGUUCGACUCGAGCGAAAGCGAGAGAACGUUGCCAACGGCAAAGGCCCGUAGGGUGAGGAGCGAAGCGACGAAUAAUCCUUCCACCACCAUCA
rnacentral:sRNA from 1 species